AUACUUACCUUGUGGGAGCGGCUCAGCUCAAGAAGUGAGUCCGCUAUGGCGGUGUCCCUGCAUUGCACAGCGCGGUGGACAUCGCCAUUAAGUGUCCUUCGGGGCUCUUAUCCGCGUAUUUUUUGGCUCUUAU
rnacentral:snRNA from 17 species